rnacentral:rRNA from 1 species
GUGAACGCUGGCGGUAGGCCUAACACAUGCAAGUCGAACGGCAGCACAGUAAGAGCUUGCUCUUACGGGUGGCGAGUGGCGGACGGGUGAGGAAUACAUCGGAAUCUACUUUUUCGUGGGGGAUAACGUAGGGAAACUUACGCUAAUACCGCAUACGACCUACGGGUGAAAGCAGGGGAUCUUCGGACCUUGCGCGAUUGAAUGAGCCGAUGUCGGAUUAGCUAGUUGGCGGGGUAAAGGCCCACCAAGGCGACGAUCCGUAGCUGGUCUGAGAGGAUGAUCAGCCACACUGGAACUGAGACACGGUCCAGACUCCUAAGGGAGGCAGCAGUGGGGAAUAUUGGACAAUGGGCGCAAGCCUGAUCCAGCCAAACCGCGUGGGUGAAGAAGGCCUUCGGGUUGUAAAGCCCUUUUGUUGGGAAAGAAAAGCAGCAGGUUAAUACCCCGCUGUUCUGACGGUACCCAAAGAAUAAGCACCGGCUAACUUCGUG